UACGAAGGGGGCAAGCGUUGUUCGGAUUCAUUGGGCGUAAAGCGCGGGUAGGUGGUUUAGCAAGUCGGAUGUGAAAACCUUAGGGCUCAACCCAAGGCUUGCAUUCGAAACUGCUUUACUUGAGUGCGGGAGAGGGCAGUGGAAUUCCUGGUGUAGCGGUGAAAUGCGUAGAUAUCAGGAGGAACACCGGUGGCGAAGGCGGCUGCUUGGCCCGCAACUGACACUGAACCGCGAAAGCUAGGGGAGCAAACGGGAUUAGAUACCCCCGUA
rnacentral:rRNA from 1 species